GAACAUGACACCACCUCGUAGCUGUUUAUAAUCUGCCAACUUAUCUCUUUAGGGAGUUCCCCAGCAUUACCCACGUCAUCAGGGACCCCAAUAACCCCGACUGCAGAGAUUUUUGGAUGUUCGGUUAGGACGGAUUCAAUUUCAACAGAAGACACCUGUUUAGCAAGGUUAAAAAUAUAAGACCCUUGUUGAUUGUUGAAAACACGAUCAGGACGUUUGGAUAUUUUG